rnacentral:lncRNA from 1 species
CUCUUAAUUUUUAAGUUUCACAGUUAUAAAACAAAAACAGCAUUUUACCCCUAUGUUCUAUUUUUAUCCAUGGCAGCCAUCUUGGUUGAUAGGUGGGGUCAACGGAUAACUAGAUACCCUAAGGAUGAUUUAGGCCAAGUUUGGUUUUAUUUAGCCUUGUAGUUUCAGAAGAAAAUUUUUGUAAAAGUUAACGGACAACAACCCACCACUACGACAGACGCCAAGUGAUGAGAACAGCUUGUUUGACUCAUUUGGCCCAGGUAAUCUAAAAUGACAUAA